rnacentral:rRNA from 1 species
GUCGAACGCUGGCGGCGUGCCUAAUACAUGCAAGUCGAGCGAAGCGGCGGAUGGGUGAGUAACGCGUGGGUAACCUGCCCUUAAGUAUGGGAUACCAUUUGGAACCAGAUACUAAUACCGGAUAAUAAAGGAGUGAGUUGCGAUGCAUUAGAUAGUGGGUAAGGUAACGGUUUACCAAGGCGAUGAUGCAUAGCCGGGUUGAGAGACUGAUCGGCCACAUUGGGACUGAGACACGGCCCAAACUCCUACGGGAGGCAGCAGUAGGGAAUCUUCCACAAUGGACGAAAGUCUGAUGGAGCAACGCCGCGUGAGUGAAGAAGGUUUUCGGAUCGUAAAGCUCUGUUGUUGGUGAAGCGGUAAUCAACCAGAAAGUCACGGCUAACUACGUGCCAGCAGCCGCGGUAAUAC